GACGAACGCUGGCGGCGUGCCUAAUACAUGCAAGUAGGACGCAGUUGCGAACGGGUGAGUAACGCGUCGGUAACUGCCUAUUAGAGGGGGCUAACUAUUGGAAACAAUAGCUAAUACCGCAUACUAGUAGAUGGACCUGCGUUGUAUUAGCUAGUAGGUAGGGUAAUGGGCUACCUAGGCGACGAUACAUAGACGACCUGAGAAGGUGAUCGGCCACAAUGGUACGGAGACAAGGCCCAGACUCCCACGGGAGGCAUCAGGAGGGAAUCUUCGGCAAUGGGGGGAACCCUGACCGAGCAACGCCGGGGGAGUGAAGAAGGUUUUCGGAUCGUAAAGCUCUGUUGUUAAGGAAGCGGUACUUAACCAGAAAGGGACGGCUAACUACGUGCCAGCAGCCGCGGUAAUAC
rnacentral:rRNA from 1 species